rnacentral:rRNA from 1 species
GCGCGCAAAUUACCCGAUCCCGACACGGGGAGGUAGUGACAAUAAAUACUGAUACAGGGCUCUUUUGGGUCUUGUAAUUGGAAUGAGUACAAUUUAAAUCCCUUAACGAGGAACAAUUGGAGGGCAAGUCUGGUGC